GGACCAUAGCAAUCAUAAAGAUUGGCGAUCAUUCUUGGGAAUGGUAUGGGGUGCUACCCUAUUUACGCCGUCUCAACCUUGGCUAGGGCUAAGUAUCCUCGAUACCUAGACCCAGGUCUUUCUGCUUAUGUGCCCCUGCGCCAUGUGGACUCUACUACCAUAGAAAGCCACGCAGGUGGUACGGGUCGGCAGAUGGUAUAAACCUUGCCGGCCGGGCUCCGCGCUACCUUCUGGAUAGCACGUAGGGGUUCACCCCCCCUUACAAGGAGUACCCGUGCUAAUCCUUAAUUCCAUAGUUUUAUACCUUGGUGGGCAAGCACCCCAAGUUAAAAUUGAACAACACUGUACAAUGGAUUUCUUGGCUCCCACGUCGAUGAAGAACGCAGCAAAGCGCGAUAGGUAGUGUGAAUUGCAGAAUUCCGUGAAUCAUCGAAUUUUUGAACGCAUAUUGCGCCCCAUCUCUCGGGAUUGGGCAUGUCUGCCUCAGCGUCGAUUUAAAUGGUUUGUGCCGUAAAUGACUAUUGGUUUACAGCAUUAGUUAAAGCAAUGAAAUUUUCAUGCAUGCAAGCAUGACAGAUUUGCAGUAUUCUACCUUACUGUUCAUCGUAGGAAAGCUUUUAUAGCUAACACACUAUGGACAUGAGGGGUUAAUGGAAUAGCUGUAACCAUUUCGACCUGAGUUCAGGCAGGGCUACCCGCUGAACUAAGCAUCA
rnacentral:rRNA from 1 species